rnacentral:SRP_RNA from 1 species
ACUUUGUGAUGCUGAGCCAGCCGCCGGAGGAACGUCGGAAGCGUGAGCCGGAGCUCCUCAAGCGCUACCUCGAGGAGCGCGGCGACUACAGCGAGGCAGGCAUGAAAGAGCACCUCU